rnacentral:rRNA from 1 species
GACUCUCGGCAAUGGAUAUCUCGGCUCUCGCAUCGAUGAAGAGCGCAGCGAAAUGCGAUACGUGGUGCGAAUUGCARAAUCCCGCGAACCAUCGAGUCUUUGAACGCAAGUUGCGCCCGAGGCCAUCCGGCCAAGGGCACGUCCGCCUGGGCGUCAAGCGUU